rnacentral:lncRNA from 1 species
UGUUUUGUGGAGUUGAGUACAUGUAGGAAGGUCUAGUUGAAUGAUUCGGAUUGCUAAAAUAUCCGGGAGUUGAUGCCCAAGGUGGAGGCGGAUAAGCAGAGUACUGUGGGAAUUGAGUCUGAGCACGUGGCGGUAAUUGUUGAGGCUGAGAAUGAAGUUCUAGCUGAGUUCUAGGUUGUUGGUUCAGUUCAGGUUGUAAAGGAGAUUGUGGAAGCUGUUGCGAGGUAUGCUGAGAUUGUAAUGAUGAUUCUUGGGGAUACUGUGGUUGAGGCCGAGGAUGAGGUUGCGAUUGAGGUUGAUGCAGAGACUGGGCCUGAGGUUGGGCCUGGGCCUGGAACUGGGCUUGGGUUGGGGUUUGAAAUUGGUGAUGAUAUUGAGGUUGGGACUGAGGUUGGGCUGCGGAUUGAAAUUGAGGACGAAACUGAGGUUGUGACUGAGAUUGAGGUUGGGGUUGGGGCUGAGCCUGAGCCCAAGGAGCUACAUAACUGUUAAAGCUCUGAUCUUGAUAUCCAAGAUAAGCUUGAGAUGCAUAUGGAUUCCCUUGCGUGGUUGAGGCAACAGGCUCCUGAUGCGUGCUAUGAUUGGCUGAAGCAGAAUUUUGUGGGGUCUCGGGAUAUAUACUUGAUGACAAGGUCAGGCUCAAGAGAUCAAUUAUAUCUUGUUCUUUCGUGGGCAUAGCAGUUGGAGGUGGAUCUCGAAGAAUCAAUGCAUUGCUUGUGACAGGAUCCAGUGAUUCUCCCGUAGAAUUGCUAUUAUUGGCAGAGACCAUACCUUCACUUGUUUGCGCUGCUGGACUUGUUUUUGAAUGUCUGCAUCAGCACAAGCGACAACUUCAUUAGAGAGGACAGACCAAAGCUAUAAAUACAUCAUAAAUCACAGAAAGUACUUUUGACUUCCAAUAACAUUUAAGGGAGACAUAGUGCACUAAGCUCCCGCUAUGUGCGGGGUCCAGGGAAGGACCGGACCACAUUGGAUCUUAUGUAUGCAGCCUUACCAUGCAUUUCUGCAAGAGGCUAUUGCCGUGAUUAAAUCCAAAUAAAAGUCACUAGCCUUUAUAUUGAGAACCACCCACCCCCUUUCCUUUCUUCAACCAUCUGAACCUUUUGGAAAACCAAAACGACAAUUAAGAAGUACAAUAACGGUCACGACUAUAUAAAAAAUUUCCUUCCUAUGAAAGUAUUAGCCUGAAAAUCUUGAUCUCCGUCAUGCAUCCACAGCUCUGCAUAAGAGCAAUGAAUUGUUUUAUAUUGGAAGUAAAUGCAGGUUUUGUAAUUUCGAUAUUUACCUUCGAGCUAACUGGGCAAAGUCAUCUUCUUCAUCUUCCUCUUCAUCAAUUUGACCAGCUGUUGGUGCAAGAACUGGUGCAGAAGGUUUUGCAUCUGCUGCUGGAGUAGGUGGUUUAACUUCAGCAGGUUUGAGGCUUGGAUCAUGCAUUUCUCUAGCUGAGAUGUUGUUGUUUGGGACUUCAGUUGGAAGUGGAGAACCAGAAGCUAUUGCGUCAUGUUUAGCCAGCACCAUUUGGAGGUUAUCAUUUAAUUCAAGACCCUGAGCCAGAAGUUCUUCAUCCCUAAUCACAAACCAGAGCAACUUUUAAGAGGUGAUGAAAAUAUGCUGAAAAAGAAAGAAAAGAAAUAGCAAAUACCAGUCUAGUUAACACUUGCGUCAAUAUCUUUCCCAUGAACACCAUAAGAAACAAAAGAUGGAGAAUUACCCGGUGGUGGUCAACAUUUGCAUCAACUUCUUCUGGUUAGAGCGACACUGGUCGACAAGAUCAACUAUAACUUCAUCUUGUACAGCCUAUACAAAACAAAGAUAGAAAAGGAUUAAAGAAGUUCCAUUAAUGAGGUGAAUGAAGGAAGAGUGAGAGAAGUUACUUACCAAGCGAUCACCUGGAAUCACGGCUUGUAGCAUAUCAGCCAACAGAUCAGCAACUUCCUUCAUAGAAUUUAUGCUGGACAAGCUGCAAGGUAAAACAGUUAGGAUAAAGGAUAUGAUAAAGUAAAUCAUAACAAACCAAUUUAUAGAGUGCAACAACAUAGGAUCAAUAGGUCUGACAAGGCGUACGUCAACUUACCUUAAGUUUGCCAUCUCUGCUGCCAUGGCCUCAUCAAGUCUUGUUGAGGAAUUGCUUGGCAUUCCAUAACCAGGUUGAGGUUGUCUUGGUGCAGGAUGAGUAACAGGUGGAGUAAAAAUUGGAGCUGUAU